UAUGGUAAUUGUGUGCCAGAAGAAGAGGUAAUACGUAUGGUGCAAGCGUUAUCCGGAUUUACUGGGUGUAAAGGGAGCGCAGGCGGUACGGCAAGUCUGAUGUGAAAGCCCGGGGCUCAACCCCGGUACUGCAUUGGAAACUGUCGGACUAGAGUGUCGGAGGGGUAAGUGGAAUUCCUAGUGUAGCGGUGAAAUGCGUAGAUAUUAGGAGGAACACCAGUGGCGAAGGCGGCUUACUGGACGAUUACUGACGCUGAGGCUCGAAAGCGUGGGGAGCAAACAGG
rnacentral:rRNA from 1 species